rnacentral:rRNA from 1 species
GCAUAUCAAUAAGCGGAGGAAAAGAAACUAACAAGGAUUCCCCUAGUAACUGCGAGUGAAGCGGGAAAAGCUCAAAUUUAAAAUCUGGUAGUCUUUGGCUGCCCGAGUUGUAAUCUAGAGAAGCGUUAUCCGCGCUGGACCGUGURUAAGUCUCCUGGAAUGGAGCGUCAUAGAGGGUGAGAAUCCCGUCUUUAACACGGACUACCAGGGCUUUGUGAUACGCUCUCAAAGAGUCGAGUUGUUUGGGAAUGCAGCUCUAAAUGGGUGGUAAAUUCCAUCUAAAGCUAAAUAUUGGCGAGAGACCGAUAGCGAACAAGUACCGUGAGGGAAAGAUGAAAAGAACUUUGGAAAGAGAGUUAAACAGUACGUGAAAUUGUUGAAAGGGAAACGCUUGAAGUCAGUCGCGUUGGUCGGGAAUCAACCUUGCUUUUGCUUGGUGUACUUUCUGGUUAACGGGUCAGCAUCAAUUUUGACCAGUGGAAAAAGGUCAGGGGAAUGUGGCAUCUUCGGAUGUGUUAUAGCCUCUGGUCAUAUACAUUGGUUGGGAUUGAGGAACUCAGCACGCCGCAAGGCCGGGUUUUUAACCACGUUCGUGCUUAGGAUGCUGGCAUAAUGGCUUUAAUCGACCCGUCUUGAACCACGGACCA